rnacentral:rRNA from 1 species
GACGAACGCUGGCGGCGUGCUUAACACAUGCAAGUCGAACGGAAAGGCCCUGCUUUUGUGGGGUGCUCGAGUGGCGAACGGGUGAGUAACACGUGAGUAACCUGCCCUUGACUUUGGGAUAACUUCAGGAAACUGGGGCUAAUACCGGAUAGGAGCUCCUGCUGCAUGGUGGGGGUUGGAAAGUUUCGGCGGUUGGGGAUGGACUCGCGGCUUAUCAGCUUGUUUGUGGGGUAGUGGCUUACCAAGGCUUUGACGGGUAGCCGGCCUUAGAGGGUGACCGGCCACAUUGGGACUGAGAUACGGCCCAGACUCCUACGGGAGGCAGCAGUGGGGAAUAUUGCACAAUGGGCGGACGCCUGAUGCAGAAACGCCGCGUGCGGGAUGACGGCCUUCGGGUUGUAAACCGCUUUCGCCUGUGACGAAGCGUGAGUGACGGUAAUGGGUAAAGAAGCACCGGCUAACUACGUG